rnacentral:lncRNA from 1 species
GAAACAGGAAGGGCCCUCUUUUUCCCUUCCGCUCCUGCUCCAGUGGCAAGAUGUGAUCCCAGCAAGGAGGGAGGCCAAAGCUGUUGAGUUCCUGAUAUCACUCAUAAAAAUAAACUAGAACAUGAAGGAAGAGGACAUGAAGAGAAUGAACAACUGUCUAUUAUCCAUCUGCUUGCAAGGACUGAAAAAAAUUUAAUUGGUCAGGAAGCAGAGAGAUGGACAGCUGCACAUCCAAGAGUCACGAGAAGCAAGUCCCCUGGGAUGCUGUGCUCUAACUUGCUCACAUAGUCUCUGCUGCUCUAGAGCUGAUUGUACCCGGGCCACUCCUCUUUGCUGGCAACGUAGGAGGAUCAUCUAGUCAGACUUGAUCGUCUCCAAGUGCCCUGUGCUUUUCUUCAAGUUCCAUUGAUAUUGAUUCCUGUGGCUUGUGUACCUGGGGCCCCAGUGCCUGUCAGCUUUGGGUUGGAGUUUGUUAAUGGGAGGAAACAGGAGUUUGGAACAUGGGAAGAGACAGAGAGGUUCCUCCCUUGGCCUCCCUCAAUGAAGGACUCUAGCAUGUGAGGCCAAUGAUUAAUCAAAUAGCUGAAUCCAUAAUCACAACCACCAGGAUGGGAAGAGGAGAUAAAAUAACAAUAGCUGGAUUUUAAAAAUCGUUCUAUAUAUCAUGGGAGGAAACAA